rnacentral:rRNA from 1 species
ACACGAAGCCUGACCAUUUCCAUUUCUGCCCCCAGCUCUUCCUCCCUCGCGCCCACCACGCCGCCGCCGGCGCCCUGACCGCCGUGUCCCUGGCCCGCAGCCGCAGGCCGUCCUCUCCUCCUCCUCCUCGCGCCCUCGCCUCGUUCCCCCGGUUCGCCCACCUACCAACCCGGGCCCCGAUCCGCGCGGAGGGGGGAGGAAAUGGCGGUGGUCCUCGCGUGGCUCAACGCCAGGGUCGUCGACCCCCUGCUGCAGGUCAUCCAGAGGGGCGCGGAGCCGAAGCAGCUGGCCUUCUCCGCCGCGCUCGGCGUCACCAUCGGGGUCUUCCCCAUCUGCGGGACCACGGUUAUUAUCGGUGGACUUGCUGUGGCGAUGUUAGGAGCUCGUUGCAAUGCCGUUACUGUCAUGGUUCUCAAUUUAGCUGCUACUCCUCUUGAGCUAAGCUUGAUCAUUCCUUUCUUGCGUUUGGGAGAAGUAGUCACAGGCGGUGAGCACUUCCCCUUGACAUCUGAUGCAUUCAAGAUGGUCCUCACAGGCCACGCCUCAAAGGACGUGCUACUCAGCAUUUUUCAUGCGAUUCUUGGCUGGAUGGUUGCUGCACCGUUUGUGAUGGCUGGGCUGUACACCUUGUCUGUCCCUUGUUUCAAGUACCUGGUCGGCAGGUUUGGCGUCAUCCCUUCGAGCCCCAGGACGCCGAUGAAAGCGGUUUUGCUUUGCCCAAAUGAAUCCGAAUCCGAAUCCGAAAAUGGGGCAGUACCAUUGCUCGUCCACGCCGACUGAUCUUGUGGUGCGUGUCAUCUGGACAUCAUCAGCCAUUCUCACCUGCAUUUGUGUCUCAUGGCACCAUGUUAUGUAAACUGUGGGCAUGUUGUGUUGUCUUCUUAUCUGAUUGUAUUGUGUUAACUGCUGUUAUGUGCUCCCGUUAGGGGCUGCUCGCGUAGCUGUAGGCUGAUAUGUAUGUAUAUAUAAAGGUAACGAGUGUUGUGUAUGAUGCUAUCUCUAAUACGUACGAUACAGCAACAUGGAACAUCUGCAAUGCACAGGAGUUUGGACGAGCCUGACUUGCGUCUCUGAAGCUGUUCCAUGUUGCACGCUAUUCUGGAGCAAUAACCACGCCAUGACUACAUUGUGCAUUCUGGAGCAACAACCAUGCUUUGAGAGCUCGUGCUUCAUCGGUCGGUCGGUUCUUCGAAAACAUGUAAAUCCUCUGAGCAACUCGCCGUUAAGAAAGUCAUUAUGCAUAAGUAUGUGAGAUAGAAUGCCAUAGGAAGAAGAUGGUGAACAGUGGUCAAUUAUAACACUAAAAAUAAUGGAGGUCUUCUGGGCCUUAUGGACGGUUUGAUCAUGAGGCUAGAUUCUCCUGCUCCCAUAUCAUGAGCAACAGUUUUAAGC